rnacentral:tRNA from 1 species
UUCAGGAUGGCCGAGUGGUUAUGGCAUCGGACUCCUAAUCCGAUUGACUGUUGCAUCUUCAGGUUCGAUUCCUGCUCCUGAAC